UCUCCACAGAUGCUGCCUGACCUGCUGAGCUCCUCCAGCAUCUUGUUUUUUCAGCACUGAUCAUGAUGAGUGGAAGAGAUACAACGAACAUUUGAUGACAAAGCAUAUGGCAGUAGAAGGGAUUGGAUAUGUUCCUAACCCAAGCAGGAAUUACUUCACAUAGAAACUCAAGGCAGAAGGUGGUGGGUGAACCUAAUCCAACACGUCAACAGAUCCUUAAUAACAACUUGAGAGAAAGUACAAAUCAUGGCAAUAAUGUCAAUUACUGAAGCAAUAAAAAUAUUGUGUAU